GGUNUCCUGUGUUGCUUACCAAUGAAAUGGAAUUUCAUUGUCUUAUUAUACGGAUUCGCCUUGUGGUCUUUGGGGUGCGAGGUGGACAUGCGGUGAGCACCGUKUUCCUAACAUACCAAGUGCAUUUGGUGUUUGGUUGUUGUGGGCUAUGGUGUCUUUGCUUGUUCUCUURGAUGCGGAAAGCUAAGUGUGGGUGCAAGGUCUUGACCUUGAAUCAUCCCAGCACUGUCUUUUAACUCGAAUGACUGCUGUGCUUGUCUUGAUCUUCCCGACCAAGGCCUUAUAACAGGGCUUACUGGACGAGGGUGGAUCAUGCAGGUGUCGGUGUCAAAGAGGAAAGCUAC
rnacentral:misc_RNA from 1 species